rnacentral:snRNA from 1 species
GUGCUCACUUCAGCAGCUCAUAAACUAAAAUUGGAAUGAUACAGAGAAGAUUAGCAUGGCCCCUGUGCAAGUUAUUCAAAUUUUAUAUAUAAAGAAAGAUUAU